UACUAUACUGAUAAAUAUACAGUCCCUCAAAUUAUUAAUAGAUAUAGUCUUUAAACUUGAAGAAUUUGGCGGUGGCUUAGUCUUGUUAGAGGAACCUGUUUUUGGAUCGAUACACCACGUAUAAUUUUACUUGUUUUAUCAGUUUGUAUACCGUCAUUAUCAGAUAAUUUUAGAAAGAAGUAAUUAUUGAAAUUUCAGUUAUGAGAUUAAAUUAGAUCAAGGUGCAGCUUAUAAAUGAGUUAAAAUGGGUUACAAUAAGGCUUACUUAGACGGAGUAGUAAUAGGAAGAUGUAUUAUAAAGGUGGAUUUAAUUGUAAUUGAAAUUUAAUAAGUUUAAAAAAUAUAAGCUCUAAGCCAU
rnacentral:rRNA from 1 species